AGCGAACGCUGGCGGCAGGCUUAACACAUGCAAGUCGAGCGGGCAUCCUUGUGGUGUCAGCGGCAGACGGGUGAGUAACGCGUGGGAACGUGCCCUUCGGUUCGGAAUAACUCAGGGAAACUUGAGCUAAUACCGGAUACGUGCGAGAGCAGAAAGGUUUAUCUGCCGAAGGAUCGGCCCGCGUCUGAUUAGCUAGUUGGUGAGGUUACGGCUCACCAAGGCGACGAUCAGUAGCUGGUCUGAGAGGAUGAUCAGCCACACUGGGACUGAGACACGGCCCAGACUCCUACGGGAGGCAGCAGUGGGGAAUAUUGGACAAUGGGGGCAACCCUGAUCCAGCCAUGCCGCGUGAGUGAUGACGGCCGUAGGGUUGUAAAGCUCUUUUCUCCGGGACGAUAAUGACGGUACCGGAGGAAUAAGCCCCGGCUAACUUC
rnacentral:rRNA from 1 species